rnacentral:tRNA from 1 species
GGGGAUGUAGCUCAGCGGGAGAGCACUGCCUUUGCACGGCAGGGGCCGUGGGUUCGAAUCCCACCAUCUCCA